ensembl:lncRNA
GACGUCUUAUGUGACAUCGGACAGAGCAGAGCAGUAUUUAUGACCGGCGCACUCAACUGGUCGUCGCCAGAUUAUCUGCCAACUUUACCUCGGAACCCCACCUACCAAGCUCUCCUGGAUACCAGUUUGCUGCCGCCGGAAAUCACUCUCCGUGUCGGAGCUGCCACUCUUUCCUGCCUGCCUCCCUGCAUUGCAUGCAGCACCCACCUGGACCUCUCCUGCCUCCCCUCUCCACGCAACCCUCACCUGCAAGUUUGGAUAAAUCGGUAUGCACUCUACUCAACAGUGAGGAAAAAAACACCACUUAUUCACAAAUCGUGAAAGAGAAACAAAUCAAAGUCAACAGAGUUUCCAUCAGAGCCAGAUGCCAUCUCCCCCCUAAAAGAUGUAGUCCACCAGUCCAACCACUGCAGUCCAGCUGAGGGUCUCGAAUCCGUCCACCCAACACCUCAGAUAACAAUUACUUGUAUAACCGAUUAGUAGAUAGAUAGUAGACGGGGGCGACCGUAGCUCAGGGGAUUGGGAAGCGUAU